GUAAGGAUCUCGUUGGUGACCAGCGGAGGGAUCAUUACCGAGUUUACAACUCCCAAACCCCUGUGAACAUACCAAUUGUUGCCUCGGCGGAUCAGCCCGCUCCCGGUAAAACGGGACGGCCCGCCAGAGGACCCCUAAACUCUGUUUCUAUAUGUAACUUCUGAGUAAAACCAUAAAUAAAUCAAAACUUUCAACAACGGAUCUCUUGGUUCUGGCAUCGAUGAAGAACGCAGCAAAAUGCGAUAAGUAAUGUGAAUUGCAGAAUUCAGUGAAUCAUCGAAUCUUUGAACGCACAUUGCGCCCGCCAGUAUUCUGGCGGGCAUGCCUGUUCGAGCGUCAUUUCAACCCUCAAGCCCCCGGGUUUGGUGUUGGGGAUCGGCGAGCCCUUGCGGCAAGCCGGCCCCGAAAUCUAGUGGCGGUCUCGCUGCAGCUUCCAUUGCGUAGUAGUAAAACCCUCGCAACUGGUACGCGGCGCGGCCAAGCCGUUAAACCCCCAACUUCUGAAUGUUGACCUCGGAUCAGGUAGGAAUACCCGCUGAACUUAA
rnacentral:rRNA from 1 species